rnacentral:rRNA from 1 species
CAAUAGCGUAUAUUUAAGUUGUUGCAGUUAAAAAGCUCGUAGUUGGAUUUCGGAUGGGAUUUGCCGGUCCGUCGUUACGAUGUGCACUGGCCAGUCCUAUCUUGUUGUCGGGGACUAGCUCCUUGGAUUCACUUCCUGGGACUAGGAGCUGACGAGGUUACUUUGAGUAGAUUAGAGUGUUCAAAGCAAGCCUACGCUCUGAAUACAUUAGCAUGGAAUAACACGAUAGGACUCUGGCUUAUCUUGUUGGUCUGUGAGACCAGAGUAAUGAUUAAGAGGGACAGUCGGGGACAUUCGUAUUUCAUUGUCAGAGGUGAAAUUCUUGGAUUUAUGAAAGACGAACUUCUGCGAAAGCAUUUGUCAAGGAUGUUUUCAUUAA